GACGAACGCUGGCGGCGUGCUUAACACAUGCAAGUCGAACGGAAAGGCCCUGCUUUUGUGGGGUGCUCGAGUGGCGAACGGGUGAGUAACACGUGAGUAACCUGCCCUUGACUUUGGUAUAACUUCAGGAAACUGGGGCUAAUACCGGAUAGGAGCUCCUGCUUCAUGGUUGGGGUUGGAAAGUUUCGGCGGUUGGGGAUGGACUCGCGGCUUAUCAGCUUGUUGGUGGGGUAGUGGCUUACCAAGGCUUUGACGGGUAGCCGGCCUGAGAGGGUGACCGGCCACAUUGGGACUGAGAUACGGCCCAGACUCCUACGGGAGGCAGCAGUGGGGAAUAUUGCACAAUGGGCGGAAGCCUGAUGCAGCAACGCCGCGUGCGGGAUGACGGCCUUCGGGUUGUAAACCGCUUUCGCCUGUGACGAAGCGUGAGUGACGGUAAUGGGUAAAGAAGCACCGGCUAACUACGUG
rnacentral:rRNA from 1 species